CAGUUUCCCUUAUGUGUAAAUUCAUUUAUCAAAUAUGCUUUUCUUCUUAGCCUAUUAACCCUAAUAUCAUUCUACUGUUCUGACACACUUAAUUACUAAGGACACUGAAAUAUUUUGUUAAUUCUCCCAAACCAGCAGUUUAAAAUUUGACUGUUUCUGCUUACUCUCUCUACUCAUGGCUUUAUCAACCAUAGAGUUUUCUUCACGAUCUGUACACUCCUACUUCUCCUAGACUAUUUUAUCAAAUACCUCCUUUAUUUUUAAUCACAUUCAUUAUCUUUGCUUCAACCAACUUUAUUAGCUGGGAAGGCAUAGGUAUAUCAUUUUUUUAUCAGCAAAUAGUGCAGCCCUCCAAGCAAUAUUGUAUAAUCACAUUGGAGACAUUGGAUUCAUUUUAGACAUGAUCCUUUGUAAACAUCAACUCCUGAGAACUUCAACAAAUAUUUUUUUCCUCACAACAUCAACUUAAUUCCUCUCCUAGACCUUCUAAUUGCAGCCCUAGGAAAAUCAGCACAAUUUACCCUCCACCUCUGACUCCCAUUAACCACAGAGACCCACUACCCCAUCUCAGCCCUCCUCUCAUUCAAGUUCUGUAGUAGUUGAAGCAAUCUUCUUAAUAAUCUGAUUUUAAUCUUCAUGAAAUAAUAGUACUAUUAUAGUAUUUAUGUCUUGGCUCAUUAACCACACUGUUCACAGCCAUCUAUGCAAUUACUAAAAUGAUAUUUUGAAAAUUUUUAACAUUUUGCACAUCCAGCCAAUUAGGCCUUAUAAUAGUAACUGUAGGUGUAAAUCAACCCUCUCUAGCUUUCCUUCACAUCUGUACACACACACACACACACACACACACACACACACACACACACAUACACACACACACAUUCUUCAAAGCUAUACAUUUUUAUGUGCUCAGGAAUCACAGCUUUAAUGAUGAACGAGACAUCUGGAAAAAAAAGGGUAAUCUACUAAAAGCCCUUACUUUUACAUCAUCUUGUCUAAUUAUCAGUAGGCUUGCUUUAACCAGCAUACCUUCCUUACAGGAUUUUACCCAAAAAGCCUAGUUAUUGAGGCCACUAUCAUAUCUAAUACCAAUGCCUGAGCCUUUGUC
rnacentral:lncRNA from 1 species